rnacentral:rRNA from 1 species
ACUGGUAUUGCCCAGUAACGGCGAGUGAAGCGGCAACAGCUCAAAUUUGAAAUCUGGCCCCCCGGCCCGAGUUGUAAUUUGGAGAGGAUGCUUUUGGCGCGGCGCCGUCCGAGUUCCUUGGAACAGGACGCCACAGAGGGUGAGAGCCCCGUACGGACGGACGCCUAGCCUCUACAAAGCUCCUUCGACGAGUCGAGUAGUUUGGGAAUGCUGCUCAAAAUGGGAGGUAAAUUUCUUCUAAAGCUAAAUACCGGCCAGAGACCGAUAGCGCACAAGUAGAGUGAUCGAAAGAUGAAAAGCACUUUGAAAAGAGGGUUAAAAAGUACGUGAAAUUGUUGAAAGGGAAGCGCCUGUGACCAGACUUGCGCCCCGUGGACCACCCGGCGUUCUCGCCGGUGCACUCCGCGGGGCGCAGGCCAGCAUCGGUUUUCCUAGGGGGACAAAGGCCGCGGGAACGUAGCUCCUUCGGGAGUGUUAUAGCCCGCGGCGGCAUGCCCCUGGGGGGACCGAGGACCGCGCUUCGGCAAGGAUGCUGGCGUAAUGGUCACCAGCGACCCGUCUUGAAACACGGACCA